rnacentral:lncRNA from 1 species
GUGGUAAUGCAUGUUGUAUAGUCAGUUGUCACAUGGCAUGUUCAGUACAGGAGUGGUAGAUAAAUGUUGUAUAAUCAGGUGACACAUGUCUUGAUCAGUGCAGAAAUGGUAAAUGAAUGUUGUAUAAUCAGAUGUCACAUGUCAUGUUCAGUACAGGAUUGGUAUAUAUAUGUUGUAUAAUCAGGUGUCACAUGUCAUGUUCAGUACAGAAGUGGUAAAUGAAUAUUGUAUGAUCAGAUGUCCCAUGUCAU